UACGUAGGGGGCCAGCGUUGCUCGGAAUUACUGGGCGUAAAGGGUUCGUAGGCGGUGUGGCAAGUCGGAAGUGAAAUCUCUAGGCUCAACUUAGAGACUGCUCCCGAAACUGCCAUGCUAGAGUGCGGGAGAGGCCAGUGGAAUUGCAGGUGUAGCGGUGAAAUGCGUAGAUAUCUGCAGGAACACCCGUGGCGAAGGCGGCUGGCUGGACCGCAACUGACGCUGAGGAACGAAAGCGAGGGGAGCAAACAGG
rnacentral:rRNA from 1 species